rnacentral:tRNA from 1 species
GGGGUUGUGGUUUAGUGGUAGAGCACGUGCCUAGCAUGCAUGAGGCACUGGGUUCAAGUCUCAGCACCA